AUUUUGUUGAUGAACACUAUGACACAGGGCGUAUCCUUGCCCAGCGUUUGGUCCCUGUUCUUGCCAAUGAUACUGCAGAGGAGUUGGCUACAAGGGUUCUCAAUGAGGAGCACCAAUUAUAUGUGGAGGUAGUGGAGGCUGUAUGUGAAGACCGUGUGGUUUGGAGGAAAGAUGGUGUUCCUCUGAUCCAAAUCAAAGAAAACCCCAAUGAGUUUCGUUGAUUAUCUUUGAUAUGGGGAUUUUGGUUGGAGAUUUUGCUUAUGCAAUCUUCACAUUUGCCCCAAAUCUGUAGCUAUUGAAUUGUAAUUAUUAGGCAGGUAAUUUCCGGUGGCACUCAUGUCACAUCUCCUCUAAGAAUAUAAUAAGCAGGUGGAUUUUGAUACCGGGUUGCUAAGCA